UACGUAGGUGACAAGCGUUGUCCGGAUUUACUGGGCGUAAAGAGCGCGCAGGCGGUCGAUCAAGUCGAGUGUGAAAGCCCCCGGCUCAACUGGGGAGGGUCAUUCGAUACUGAUCGACUCGAAGGCAGGAGAGGGUAGUGGAAUUCCCGGUGUAGUGGUGAAAUGCGUAGAUAUCGGGAGGAACACCGGUGGCGAAGGCGGGUUGCUGGGCUGACACUGACGCUGAUGCGCGAAAGCCAGGGGAGCGAACGGG
rnacentral:rRNA from 1 species